AGUCGCCAUUGGAGACAGUCUGAAGGGCCAGUGGAAGUCCGAACAGAGAGUUAUUAUUUUGUUGCGAAUUAUUGUAAAUGUGAUCUCAGAAAAACCUAAACGAAUCCAUAAGUAAGUUUCCCUUGUAAACGUAUUUGAACUUCAAAUCAAAGGUUUCUUUAUUUACUUAACGUUAAUCCAGUUAAACAGACCGAACAGCGUGGCUUUAAGCGAGCUUAGCAGCUAAAUCUGACGACGUCAACGUGAAGCUAUCGCUGAAAAAUAUGAAGACCACUGACAAGAGCAUGCAAACUCAGACAGCACGUCUCAGUGAGGGGCUGAGGUUGAUCUUUGAUCAAGAUCCAUCCGGCUCUCCCUCCUCUAGUCCCCAUUCCAGCAGCAGGAGCAGCCGCAGUACCAGCCGUGACCGUCGCUCAUCCAGAAGCUCGAAGAGAUCUCAUAGGAGGAGACGUCACUCCAGAUCUUCCUCCAGUUCCUCUACAUCAAGCACCCAAUCUCGUUCCCGCUCUCAUCCACGAUGCCACAGACAAUCGUCACGCCACCGUUGCCGCCGUCAUCGCCACUCGCCACCUCGCCGCUACCGGGCACGCUCCCGCUCCUACAGCCCUUCCCCGUCAUCAGAUCGCCACCACACACGCAGAAGCCGCUCUCGCUCCAGGUCACCCGACAGCAGAAGGCACCGUGGCGUCGUUGGCCGAUACCGUAGCAGGCCCUCUGACUACAGCCGCAGGAGCAAGUCCCGGACACCCGAGCAGUCCUCAGUCCAUCUCAGUCAGGAUGAAAAAAGGGAGCUUCUGAGAAUUGCUGCGGAAAAUGCAGUGAAGAUUGUGGGGUCAGACCGGUUGCAGUUGCCUGAAAGUGUGAAGAGGACCCUCCAGUCGGAAGAGAAAGCAGCCCUUUCACCAGAUCAUAGCAGUCCAGUCCCAUGGGUGAGACCAGAGCCAGAACCCCAGCAGAGUCUAGAACAGAUAACAUGGUCUGCUCUCCAGCACCCCUUGGAUUUAGGAGAGCGAGGGGGCAGUCAUGUGACGCCACUGGGUUUGUGGAAAGGGUUAAUUCUUAAGUCUCACUUGCACAUUAAAGGUCAAGUAACAGUUGAUGCCUGUAGUGUACCUUGUUUAAUAAGUACAGUACAUAUUAGUAGCGCACCAUAGUUAAGUGUACAUCUUUGUAUAGCAUUGAUCUCCACCCUUUCAAAUUGGAGACUAGCUCGUUUCAACAUAGACAUUAAAGAAGUAGCCAACGCCUCAUAUCUGACUACAUGUAACGUACUAGCAGGAUCUGUUCUUCAUGCAUAACAGAAACGUUUGUUUGUUUGCUCUUGGUUGAAACGGAUGCGUUGUUAUUUGGCAGAGCCAUCCUCCAGCUUGCAGAAGAAGUGCAGGUGCUGGGACUGCACAGUAGUGACUAUCCCUGAGCUGAAAACUUAAAAACAGAAGAAGAAACAACCCCCUCCCCCUCUCCAUGUACCAAAGAUAAGUUUGUGCCCAUUCUGUGGCACAAGUUGGGGUUCAGAAACUGCAUCAUCAGAGAAAGGGAUCUUUUAUUUUUAUUUUUGUGCUGUUAUUUUUUCCUUUUCCCUUCAAAUAUACUGGAACUAACUGGUCCAAAAGUUCGGCAACUGCCCAUUGGCAGCAGUGCAGACAGAUAUCCGUUGUAACAUUGCAGAUCGUAGAUAUUAAGUCACAAUUAUGCCUGUACAUUGUGGCCUUAAUGACCUUGAGAUAGUCAUAUGCAUGGAUUGUUGUCUAAAGACAAAAAAAAAGGUCACAUCUCUAUCAGUCUGAGGAUGAUGAAGAAAGUUUGAAAAGAGUUUGUGAUCACUUUGUUAAACAAGUCUGUUCCUUUUGUCUUUCUGGCAGAUCACAGAGAUGGCCUCAGAGGAUGGCGAAUUAAGCCCCAAGAUGUCUCCAAAGAGAAAACCCAUCACGUUCAGCAUCAAUAACACUGUUGCAAAGCCGACGAAUGGCAAACCUCAGGGCAUGGCAGAGGUUAAGGUAACCUCCAGGGUUGACAUCGUGGGCA